rnacentral:rRNA from 1 species
GACGAACGCUGGCGGCGUGCUUAACACAUGCAAGUCGAACGGAAAGGCCCUGCUUUUGUGGGGUGCUCGAGUGGCGAACGGGUGAGUAACACGUGAGUAACCUGCCCUUGACUUUGGGAUAACUUCAGGAAACUGGGGCUAAUACCGUAUAGGAGAUCCUGCUGCAUGGUGGGGGUUGGAACGUUUCGGCGGUUGGGGAUGGACUCGCGGGUUAUCAGCUUGUUGGUUGGGUAGUGGCUUACCAAGGCUGGGACGGGUAGCCGGCCUGGGAGGGUGACCGGCGACAUUGGGACUGAGAUACGCCGCAGACUCCAACGGGAGGCAGCAGUGGGGAAUAUUGCACAAUGGGCGGAAGCGUGAUGCAGCAGCGCCGGGUGCGGGAUGACGGCUUUCGGGUUGUAAACCGCUGUCGCCUGUGACGAAGCGUGAGUGACGGUAAUGGGUAAAGAAGCACCGGCUAACUACGUG